GCCUCCGUAGCUCAACUGGCAGAGCAGUGGCCUCUUAAGCCAUUGGUUGCGCGUUCGAAUCGCGCCGGAGGCA
rnacentral:tRNA from 1 species